rnacentral:lncRNA from 1 species
CAGGAUUUAGUGAACAUAUCAACGUACAUGGUGAUCUUUACAGCUUAUUUAUUUUUUCUGUGGAGCUUCAAAUAUAAUAAAUUACGAAUAAAUAAUGUGCAGUAAUCAUGUUUCUUUUCUUAUCACUAUACUUCAGUAAUGGUAUCUACACAAUGUAUACAUACUGCUAUCAUAGUGCAGUGUGAAUGAAGUGUGCUGCUUCUACUUGCAUAAAAGCUGAUAUUGACAUGCUCCUUAGCCAUGUGAUCUUCAAGGGCCUUUGGCUAUGUGUAUCACUUCACAGAUUAAAGAUGUAGCUACAAUCAUUAUUAGUUUUUUGGUUAUCUUCCUUUUUAAAGAAGCAGCUUAGAGACCUACUGGCUGCUCUGGAUCAAGAUUAUAAGCAGAUUUCAUAUAUUUGGACAACAGACAGAGAUUGUGUUUCAUAUAUGCAUAUGCAUUUAUUGUAUAAUUCAGUUCCACCACCACAUUACUACCUACAUGAAUUUCCCCUAUACCAGAUAUUAACUUUUGAAAUUAGUGACAUCUACUCAAAUAAAUAUCCACAGGUUGGCAUAGACAUGUUUACAUCAGCAAUCUUUUCUUUGAGAUAUCUGGUGGCCUUUCGUGUAAGUUCAAUGUAUCCAUUUAUCAUUCCAUUGCUUUCUUGAUUCAACAAUAACAAUAAAGGACUGCUAAAUUGUACUUUGUAGAGAAAGGGAUGACGUACACCUAGGUUAUAUAGGCUAAAGAGUAUCGAUAGUCUGACCGCACAUCAUUUUUUGUACACUCAGUAAUCUUUAAUGGUUUAUUAACACUAUCUAAUCCGAAGUAGAUGUUUAUUAUUUGUUCCCUUUUCCUUACUUAUCCAUAGAAUAAUGAUCUUUAUUUUUAUCUGUUUUGUAGAACCAUCGAAUUCAAGUCAUCUUUGAGUACAUGACAUCUUCUGAAGUUCGUGCCAUCAUGCUUUAGUUUUCCCACAUCAGCUGAGAUUAUUCAAAUAAAAAGACGGUCUCAGGCACAAGAGCAUGAUGUGCUUCCGCCAGUUGCUUUCACACCAAGGCCACGCGGUUGAUCAUCUAAGCGCACCUAUGAAGUUGACCAACAAGGAAGUUGGCCAGAGCUACUAAUUAGUAUGCCUAAUUGCUAUUGCUUUGUAGUUUGACCGCCUCUACCGUCAGUAUGCCUGGCUUUUGCUUUCUUAUUAUGUUCCUGCUAUUAGUACUUCCUCUCUCGUGUUCGUGCUCUUAGUAUUGAACUUAAUGUUGUAGUUAUUAGCUUUUGUGGUCUAAUGAACUAACUGAGUGUUUAUAAUUUCAUGAUGAUGUUGAACUCGAUAACUAAAUGAUCAUUAUCUGC